CACGCCGCCCUGGUGGCGGACUCCAAACGCAGCGGUUUCUGGAAGGGUUACGUGCACGGACGCCAGAUGUGUUCGCUUGUUCACCCGCCCCUGUCGCGCGCCGUCGUGCCUCGGAGCCGUAGUGAGUGGGCCGGUUAGGAAGAGACGGGCGUCCCUACCUAUCAGCCUCCCGUGGAUGUGAGCGACAGCGAAGAGCAGGAUCUUGAGGCCGACUUCCCUGACUACGUGGACCCUCCCCUUGACUAGUCGGCCGUAGUGAAUGUUUUUUUUUUUGGAAAAAACAAUUGUUCUUCUAUUGUAAUAACAUUUAGCUUUUUUUUCCCUGCUUUCUUACUUGUUUAUUUUCUUUCGCUUUUUGCUUGAUCGUCAGUCGUUUCCUUCUUCCUCUAGCUUUCGCUCCCCUGUUUACCUUUCGCUCUCGCUCUUCCCCUUCAAUCGUUUGUUUCAGAGAAGCGGCCUGGGCCCUUCGGACGUUCCCGUGUGGCCUCUCGGCCCCGGGGACCUUCCGUUGGCCUUUUCGGCGGGCUUCUCCGAUUUGCGUUUGCUCGGGGAAGCGGCCUGGGCCGUGCGGAUUGUCUCGUGUGGUCGUCCGACCUUGAGACUUUUCCGCCGGCCUUUUCGGCGGGCUUCUCCAGCUUUCGUUUGCUCGGGGGAACGGCCUGGGCCGUGCGGAUUGUCUUAUGUGGUCGUCCG
rnacentral:lncRNA from 1 species